rnacentral:rRNA from 1 species
UACGGGGGGGGCAAGCGUUGUUCGGAAUUACUGGGCGUAAAGGGCUCGUAGGCGGCCAACUAAGUCAGACGUGAAAUCCCUCGGCUUAACCGGGGAACUGCGUCUGAUACUGGAUGGCUUGAGGUUGGGUGAGGGAUGCGGAAUUCCAGGUGUAGCGGUGAAAUGCGUAGAUAUCUGGAGGAACACCGGUGGCGAAGGCGGCAUCCUGGACCAAUUCUGACGCUGAGGAGCGAAAGCCAGGGGAGCAAACGGG